rnacentral:snoRNA from 1 species
AAGAUCAUACUUCACAGGAUCAUUUCUGUAGUAUAUCUUCACAUACUCUCUACUCAACUGUAGAGUUAUCGCAACCAUGAUGACGAGACAUAGUUUCGUACUCUGAGCGUGAGGCAGACAUGAUGUGAGUUUUACAACACACGUCAUUGUCAACGAUGAUCGUUCACUUAUCAAUUUUGUUGAUAAGCAAUGGGUAUGAAACAGUCUGAGUGGU